rnacentral:misc_RNA from 1 species
UCUCCUAGAAAUGGCUCUGUUUAGAAAGUUCUUCUAUCGAAAGCCACCUGACGGGCUUUUGGAAAUCUCUGAAAGGGUUUAUGUCUUUGAUUGCUGCUUUAUGACGGAUACUUUAAAAGAUGCCGAAUAUAAAGUCUAUAUAGGAAGCAUAUUGAGUAAACUUCGUGACUACUUCCCAGAUUCUUCAUUCAUAGUCUUCAACUUCCGAGAGGGAGAG